UACGAAGGGUGCAAGCGUUACUCGGAAUUACUGGGCGUAAAGCGUGCGUAGGUGGUUCGUUAAGUCUGUCGUGAAAGCCCCGGGCUCAACCUGGGAAUGGCGAUGGAUACUGGCGGGCUAGAGUGCGGAAGAGGCGAGUGGAAUUCCUGGUGUAGCGGUGAAAUGCGCAGAUAUCAGGAGGAACACCGAUUGCGAAGGCAGCUCGCUGGGACGUCACUGACGCUGAGACGCGAAAGCGUGGGGAGCAAACAGG
rnacentral:rRNA from 1 species